rnacentral:rRNA from 1 species
GCUCGUGUCGUGAGAUGUUGGGUUAAGUCCCGCAACGAGCGCAACCCUCGUUCUAUGUUGCCAGCACGUAAUGGUGGGAACUCAUGGGAUACUGCCGGGGUCAACUCGGAGGAAGGUGGGGAUGACGUCAAAUCAUCAUGCCCCUUAUGUCUUGGGCUUCACGCAUGCUACAAUGGCCGGUACAAAGGGCUGCAAUACCGUAAGGUGGAGCGAAUCCCAAAAAGCCGGUCCCAGUUCGGAUUGAGGUCUGCAACUCGACCUCAUGAAGUCGGAGUCGCUAGUAAUCGCAGAUCAGCAACGCUGCGGUGAAUACGUUCCCGGGUCUUGUACACACCGCCCGUCAAGUCAUGAAAGUCGGUAACACCUGAAGCCGGGGCCCAACCCUUGUGGAGGGAGCCGU